GUUGAACGCUGGCGGCAGGCUUAACACAUGCAAGUCGAGCGGAGAGAGGUAGCUUGCUACUGAUCUUAGCGGCGGACGGGUGAGUAAUGCUUAGGAAUCUGCCUAUUAGUGGGGGACAACAUUUCGAAAGGAAUGCUAAUACCGCAUACGUCCUACGGGAGAAAGCAGGGGAUCUUCGGACCUUGCGCUAAUAGAUGAGCCUAAGUCGGAUUAGCUAGUUGGUGGGGUAAAGGCCUACCAAGGCGACGAUCUGUAGCGGGUCUGAGAGGAUGAUCCGCCACACUUGGACUGAGACACGGCCCAGACUCCUACGGGAGGCAGCAGUGGGGAAUAUUGGACAAUGGGCGGAAGCCUGAUCCAGCCAUGCCGCGUGUGUGAAGAAGGCCUUAUGGUUGUAAAGCACUUUAAGCGAGGAGGAGGCUACUUUAGUUAAUACCUAGAGAUAGUGGACGUUACUCGCAGAAUAAGCACCGGCUAACUCUGUGCCAGCAGCCGCCGUAA
rnacentral:rRNA from 1 species